GUACUUAUGGUCCAUCCGCAUUCUGUACGUAUCUCAAUCUGGCUAGUGGAGGGAGGAGGAGGAGGAGAAGCAAUGAUCCUUCGGCGGCAGCAUAGUUUUUCAUCCAGCAAGCAGCAGCCUUCUUCAUACAGUUCUUUCUGGUUCUCUUCCUCACUUUUGACUCUGUUCCUUGUCCUGCCUCAGCUCUUCAUCUCUCUCCUCAGUUCAACUCCCGGCCCGGAGAGAUACUCUUCACUCGUUAUCUUUUCGACAUGGAAUUUGCGGACUUCUUCUUUUCCUUCUCCUUCUUCUGCUUCUGCUCCCACUGCGCCUGGCCCAGCAGAUUUACCAGGUCUUAUGGGGGCUCCAUUGAAUUACUCGGAUGUGGUCCCAUCAGUCCCGGAUUUUUCUGUUCCUUUAUCGGCAGCGCAGGGAGCCGUAGCAGAGCAAUUGCCGUCGCCGAGGGGAGGCAAAGCGAGCAAGGUGUGAUCAGAGAAGGGAAGGGCAGCGUGAAAGAGGUGGGCGAUCGGUGAAUCCGUCGUCAGCAACUAUGAGUGAAUGAUUUUAGAGGGUCAUAAUAAUUUGCCGUUUGUAAAACCUAAUUAUUAUCCUCCUCCUCCUCCUCUUCCUCUUUCUUCUUCCUCCUCACUGACUGAAUGAUUUUGCGAUGGUCGUCAGUUGCUGAGGUUCGACUUGGAGACUGGUCUAUUGCUGUGUGCUGCGGUUGUUGUUGCUUAAUAAUUAGUAUCAGUUUGAUGUUUAAGCUCCAUAACCCUCGAUCGCUCCGUCUGUCGAGUCCUCUGUUUGUGAUCAUUUAGCUAUGUGAUUGGGGAGGUCGGCUCCGGUGGAUACUCUGUGGUUGUUUUCCCGGUGGAUACAUGCCCGUUAUCCAUUCUUGAGGUUAUAUAUAUAUAUAUAUAUAUUAACCUUGAAAAGAAGCUUUCCUGGUCUUAUAUUUUCUCGUUUUGGUUGGUCACGAUACCUUUUUUAUAUAUUCCAUUCCCUUAGUUUUCUGCCCCUGUUGAUUAUGUGUGUUUCUUUCUUCUAAUUUCUCACACCAGCAAAGGAAUGACUGGCUGAUAUCCAUCCUAAUAUUCGCCUGUACGUAUAUAAUAUGUGUCUGUUUAAUUAUACUCCAAAACCUCGAGGACAUAUAGCAGAAGCAACUAUUGUUGGCUCACGAGCUUGAAUUUUGCGCAAUAAAUUAUUAAUUAUAGCUUAUGAUAAGCAUGCAUUUCUUUUAAUUGGUUUAGCUCGGGAAAGAAAGGUUCAGAUUGGCCCGUGAGCUGUAUAUAGAUAUAUAUAUAUACACACACACUAUGUUUAGGUGUAUUAAUACAUCUGUAUUGGAUAUGCUGUGUAUAUCGUGGCUUUCCUUUGAUCUGUUCUCUUUUUGUAACUGAACUCGGUGGCCGUGACCGGGAGAGGAGAGGCUCAAAGUUCAGGGGGAGGUACUUCUAUGGGUUGAUUCUUACUCAAAUAGGAGCAGGUGCUCCUGCUGAUCAGUCACAAGCAUGGUCUCGAUUAUGGAUCGAUCGAGCCAAGCGGACGGCCGGGAGGGAAGAGGGUCGCUUUUGACUUUUUGUUUCAUGCUUUCGUAAUCAAAGUUUUUCGUUAAGUAGUGAAACCAUAGUAUUUUGGCACAUGCAUAUUUAUACAUUGAAAUAUGAAUAAUAAUUUUCGCCUUUUAUUUAGUUGGACUUUUAAGAAAAGAUCAUGGCUCCUUAUAUUCUUUUUGGCGAGUGUCUUUCAACCCAUCGUCUAUGAUCUGCUGUGGAGAGCUAUCGGGUAUAUGCUUAAGUAGUAGUGAGAAGUUCCAUCCGCCCUUACCCCCAAAGCGAAGCAAAGAAGAGGAAGAGGGGCAGGGGGAAAAGAAAAAUAUGGCUUCUAUAUAUAUAUCUGAGGACGUACAAAGGUUGGAGCCACCAUGAGAGAGAGUCUAUUUUCUCGCGCUUUCGCCAGUGAUGAUUAACGACUCCAUUCGAUUGUUUUGUUUACAAAUCUUCACUUUUUGGAUAACAUAUUACAUUUUUGACAUAUUCAAGCUCUUUGCAGUCCAGAGACAUGUUCUUCCUGCUAAAGUCCUCAUUUUUGAAAGGAGAUGAUGGUUUUAGGAUGAAUGAAGAGAUCGUGUCUUUGGGGUAUAUUAUGGGAUCAUGGCCUUUGGUCUAUAGCAUGUUAUUGUUACCAACAGGCAGAAGUUCAAAGAGGAGUAUUCCAGCUUGGCCUUUCCUAGUUCUUUCAUUUCCAGGUGGGGUCUAUGCUCUUCUUCCCUACUUCAUUCUUUGGACACCACCCUCACCUCCUACAGAAGAGCAUGAAUUGAAAAAAUGGCCGUUAAAUUUUCUCUAGUCGAAGAUAACCGCUGCGGUUUUGUUAGGUGGAGGACUAGGACUAUUCGGUUAUGCAGCUCUAGCAAAUGCAGAUGUGUGGAAAGAAUUCUACCAGUACUUUCGAGAAAGCAGACUCGCGAAUCCAUGUCACAUGCCUUGACUUUGCUGUCCGCAUUUGCACCUUUUGGAUUUACAACGAUAUGACUUCCCGCAAAUGGUAUGACAAGGGAUUUUGGCUCUCCCGCUCUCAGUGGUUCCCUUUCUAGGGCCUGCUCUCUAUCUCGUUCUACGGCCACCAGUAUCGGCGACACCGAGUUUAUCAGGCCCUGCUGCUUCCGAACAAGAAUAGAGGAACACAUCUACGAAUGUGAGAAAACAAGGUGCUCUCGGUUUCUUAUCUUUUGUUUUUAGACUCCAUACAAAAGAAUUGUCCAUGUAACGACUUGACAGAGGUCACAUUUUGAUUGAACAUAGUGCUAAUGUUUUGGUAUUGAA